rnacentral:rRNA from 1 species
CAGUCGCCGCGGGAAUACGUAGGUGGCAAGCGUUGUCCGGAAUUAUUGGGCGUAAAGGGCUCGCAGGCGGUUUCUUAAGUCUGAUGUGAAAGCCCCCGGCUCAACCGGGGAGGGUCAUUGGAAACUGGGAAACUUGAGUGCAGAAGAGGAGAGUGGAAUCCCACGUGUAGCGGUGAAAUGCGUAGAGAUGUGGAGGAACACCAGUGGCGAAGGCGACUCUCUGGUCUGUAACUGACGCUGAGGAGCGAAAGCGUGGGGAGCGAACAGGAUUAGAUACCCGAGUAGUCCCUGUCUCUUAUAC